UUGUCAGUGCUCGUGAGCCGCCAGGUCCAAACGUACCCGAAACAUUUGACUGAGACUCCAACCCUGCCGGGAGCUGCGGAGGUGGCGGCGGAGCAACGCGUCGCUCCUGGGCGUUACGAGAACGGCAGGGAUGGUUCAUGGCUCUUCAUGAGAACAGCAAGGAACGAAAAGAUGCGUUUCCUGGAGUGCCGAGGAGCCCAGCUCUGCUGUCGUUGCAUUGAUCCGGAAGGAGAGUUAUCUGGCUGUGUUGUAUUGUGUCACUUCAUGCCUUGGAUCUCACUCUGGGGCGCUGAGGUGUAGAAGCCGACUGCGUUUGUGGGGCUCAUCGAAUGGGCGGCGAUUCCCUUGGGGUCUGAGUGCUGGGGCCAGAGGCCUGGCCUUGACCCCAAACCUAACCCUGAUGAACCUAACUCUAAAACCUUCGCCCCAAAUCUAAUGAGCCCCAAACCCCAAAAAUAAUGCUAAUCGUAACCCUAACAGCUCUAAGGACAACUGUACAAACCUUCCAAAAUAACUCCAACCCUACCCCUCAGCCACGUACUAAAAACGUCUCUAACCUUCAAAGCAAUACCAAAAAGAAUCCUGGAAAUUCACUGUUAAAUAACCCUAACCUGAAUCUCUUUCUUAAAAAGUACCCCUUAAAUGCAGCCAUAAUCUUAAUCCUGAAAACUCAAAGCUCACUUUGGGACACCGUGCUGUCUGACCCUACAGAGAUGCUGUAACACACCAGCAUCAAGCAACGCUUUGCAUGUAAACAUUUAAUGCUUACGGGGGGGGCUCUGGCUUGCGUCGCUUACAACUUGGCGUACAUUGAAUUACCAGCAUUUCUCACUAAGCCAUGUCCCUCAGCUGUGUUCAACUCGUUUCAGCACCGCUCUUUAGGCCCUGCUGUCCAGCUAGUUCCUCACCCAGCAGAGAGCGCACCUGCCCAAGCCACCAGCUGCCAUCUCCUCCUGCAGAAUCCUGUGGGAGAUGAUGUCAAAGGCUUAGCCUUGCUUACCAGGUUGGGGCAGAGUUGCUCUGACUCCUCUCCAUUUCGUGGUUUCCUCGCUCGGUGGCACGUGCUCUGUCCAGCUGUCGGCUGUCCUGUUUCUGUCCCCUCCUGGCUCCUUGCACCUCCCCAG